GCCGCCGGCCUGUGUGGGCCCUGUGGCCGCGGGCGGCGGAGCGAGGGGGUCGGCUCCGCGCUGGGCUGGCUUCCCGCCGGCCCGCGGGACGGAAGCUGUCAGGGAAGGACGCGGAGAGCCGCGAUCACCCGCGCUCGGGUUUAGUAGUCGCUGCCUCCCACCUCCGGGAGUCGGGACCCAGAGGGAGACAGUCUGACCCUGCACACCUGUGGAUGGCUGCCAAAAAGAAAAAAAAAAGGCAUUAACACAUCCCCUCACCCAGGCUGGCAGUUCCAGGGGAUAUUUGCAAAACGUGGUGUUGUCAGCCAUAAAAUCCCUGCUGAGGUCACAGCUCUGCUGUAAAUGGAGCUUCCAGUCACCCUAUUAAUGUCCAUUUGAGGUCUUCAGGAAACUCCUUUACUAGUCCCUCAAAGCAAGGGACGCUCUCACGACUUUGAAUGAAUGAACCAGCUAUAAACGAGUUUUGGAUGUUGCUUGCUUAAAAGCAAAGAGCCCAAGCCUCGGCCCGCCUCGGCGGGCAUCCCUUCUCCUGCUCUGAUGCGGCGCCCAUCCUGCUGACCAGUGAAACGCAGGUGACAGCCCCUCGGCUUUCACACCUGCGUGGGGCUCCCUUACAGACAGUUAGGAAAACUCCAGCUGGACGGCAGAUGCCUGUACUCUUCUUAUGGAACUUGAGCUGAGAUCAGGCACUCUGGGCCUGCGGAGUCAGGAGCCCCAUCCCCUGGCCUUCCCUAAGAAGACAUUACACUGGACUAAUCGUAAAGGAUAUUUCCAGAUGCCCAUGGCUCUACUGAGGUCUCAUCAGGAAUUGUGGACAUGAAGCCUAAGACGUCACAUUCCUUGUCUCAGGAUGGUUAGAGCCCCUGAUUGCAAACAGUGGAAUCUACUUGGACCAGUUUAAGCAGAAAAGGGAUUUACUAAAUGCUUUGAGGUCCAUCACGGAAUCGUGCAGAAUGGAAAUGAGUUUUAAGACUAUGUUUCCAGGACCAACACCUGGACCGUGCGAUGGGACUGGACAAGUGAGAAAGCCACCUCCACCUGAUCAAAGCCUGGGCAUCUGCUGCCGGAACUGACGCCCCUUCUCAGUGAUGGAAGCUGCACGUGGACCCGCAAAGUGGACGUUGUGUGGAGAGCCUGCUUCCUGGGAUGCUCGCUUCCAAACGCAGCGUCACCCGGGAGGCCUGUGUGGCACACAGGAAGCCCUCCAAGCCUCCCGGCUGCCAGGGAGGCUGUUAGGAAACAGGAAAUUUGGAACUUCCUAAAAUACACAAAGGCUACUUUAAUCACUAUGGGCUAUGAUUACGAGAAAUGUUCACCAGGAGCCCCCAAGGAGCCUACAGUCCAACGGAGGAGAGAGACAAGCGAACUUUCCAGAACUGCCCCAGGAGGACCGAGCUAGACCCAAGAUGUUAUAUCCAACCUAAGACAGCAAAUGCCAACGUGGGAAAAUGUUCACAUUUCUCCAAGGGCUUGUCUAAUUCUCCUCUCUGCAUGAAAAUAAAGCCUUUUGGAUAAAAUUUGCGGAAUUCUCCCUCAUAUGUUCAAGAAUUUUUCAGACUAUUUUAAACACAUUGUAAGCUUGCCUGUUCAACAGAGACUUUACCUCAUUGGUCAGGAGAGCUUUCAGAGCAGCUGUCUACAAAAAGCAACUGCUAAGAUUCAUUCCCCUCUUCAAGGGACUUAGGUGCCCAAACUGUGUUUAAAGACUUACUCUUUGCUCUAAGUAGCAACUUCUGAAAACUGCAAUAAAAAAAAUUAUGAGGUUAUAUAAUUCUUAAUUAGAAAGGCUUUUAGAAGAAAAUGGAAUGUGGUUGGAUUUAAAUGAAGCAAAACUUGAAAGACUGGAUCCAUCCAUUAUAGACUGUUAUUAUCAUCUAUAUAAUAACGCAGAUUAUUGUAUCUGUAGCGCUAGUUUAAAAAUGCAGAGGAAGGACUUUGACAGGCCCAGAGCAGGUGACUGGAGCCUGUUUGAACGUGUUUCACCCCGUGCUCUUGUUUCACUCUUGGCCAGAAGCAAAGAUACUGCAGCGAAAGUCACGGCUGCACACAUUAGACUUCCAGCUGGCUCGCUUGGACCUUUACCCUGACUUUUGGCAAAAAUUGUGUCAAAGGUGGUGCUGCUCUUACAAACUAAACACAUGUGGUCACGCUGAACUCUGUGUUUUAUUUGUAUUUUAAAGAACAUAACUAUAGUCACUAUAGGGUUUGAGGUGGGUGAACUACUUAGAGGGUAUUUGAUUGUGCUAGAAAAGAUAUUAAAAAAGCAAACACUGCAUUUUGACUUCUGAGUGAAGAGAGGAUUUCAGACAAAAAUUUAAAAAAUAGAGAGAGUUUGUUUUUACAUGUGUUGCCUUUGCUUACCCUGUGGAAUCUUGGUACCAUGUGUCUCCUCAAAAUCUCCCUACAAGAAAAUUAAACACUGACUGCAUGCGGUUAAGAAAAUAUUAACUGAGAAUUAUUUGAAUGUAUAUAAUGUAAGCCUUGGUGUGAAAAUACAGAGCGUGGUAUGCAGAAAAUUUGGAUAUUAUUAUUUUUAUUUAAAGAGAAAAGUGAUAACUCAAAAAGGGCACAAGAUAAAACUUGCACAUCAGGACAAGAUUAAAACAUUAAACUAUGUAGGUUGUAACAGAACUAGAAAUUAAGUAGGAAAAAGUAGAGUUGAUUUGUUCAGCCAGAACCCAUGAGUGUAGACAGACUUCACUGUCUACACUGGAGAAUUGAAGCGAUCAUAGAGAUUGAAUUUCCCGGACAGUCAUUUAACUGUUAGCCUGGCCUCCUAUUUCCUGUACUAGGAACACGAGCCAAGAGCUGCCACCUUCUAAGAACUAGCAGCUGCUAGAAUGCAAAAGCCUUCACAUUGAAAAUAAAUAUGAACAACUGUGUUGAACUCUACAUGGGGUAAGUGCUUACGUAGCAGAGACAAAAGAUUAAGUGAAUUUAGAACUAUUACUUGGAACCUACAUCCUUGGGACGUUCAUUCCAAGGACAAAGAAUAAGGGAAAUUUUGGGCUUGUAUUCAGUAGUUUCAUUGUUUACAGUAAUAAUGGUGUGACUGAGAAACCAUUUUUCUUUAUAUUGUUGGGUAAAGCAAGUAAGUAAUGAAAUGUUUGUGUUAGAAAUAACACACGCAAUUCAGUAUAAAAGAUUCAAUUACGAAAGUGAAAGAAAUUAAGUAGAAGUACUAUAGUAGAAUUGACAGGGAAAUAUCAAUACGAAUGCAUGAUUUCUUUUUAAAGUCCUUUUGAGUACUGUGUGCUGAACUGGCCACGAAGCCCUGUACCUCUAGCAGCGAGUGGGUACCGAGAGCCCGUGUUUAGGGCGCAAACUCCACUCCCCAUCCGUGGAGCCCACACUCCCCAUACGCGGAGAAAUGUCUUCGUGGUGGGGAAGCGAACGUUCAGAGUGGGCAGGAGGCGUCUCGUGCCAGGAAACGUGGAGGCUUAGUGGGAUCAAAGCCCAAGAGACCUGGAAGGGGGCUCCCAGUGGCCAAAGUUAUGACAAUUGAGCCAAAAAUGAUAAUAAACAUUGUUGAUAAAAACACUUUCAAUCUAUGAAAAUUCAUGAGUCUGUUAUGCUCAAAAGGGAAAACGCCAGAAAAAAUAAUUCAAAAUAAUGUGUUACAACUGAAACAGCUAUUGAACCAAUUAUACUUUAAAAAUUGGGCAGAAAAGGAAAGAAUUGAGUAUUUAUCCUGCCUUUUCAGUAGGGCCCAUGUCCAGGUGUAAGGGUAUAGUUUAGUUGAUGGAGUAAAGCCCUAGUUUAUAGAAGGCCCUCUGAUAACUAGACAUAGAACACCAGUGUCUAGCGGCCCUCGUGAAUGAUUAGGUGAGAAUUACUAGUUGGGGCUGAAAUAUUGUCUCGUUGGCCUCAGCUGGACCUUCAGAGCAACUGAGAGGAAUCAGAGCCAGGCUCCAUCAGGAAUAUAGACCAACAGCCUGUUUUGUGCCCACUGCCCAAGGUGCCUGUCAGCAAGCAGAUCUUGGCUUUGAGAUCAGCUUUUGUAGUAAAGCUCUCAGGGAGUGCAGCUCAUUCUCAUGCAGCUUUUCUGUGGAGCUGGGAGCUUCAUCACAAUCCUGGGAGCCCCGUGGCCACCCCGUGGGCCGGCACCUCCCCCCAGGCCAUCGUCUGCCCCCCUCCCACCCCCCAUGGCUCCAAGGCCACGGCCCUGCCUGGGGCUACCGCCCCCCCCAGUCACCAAGCUUUGCUCUUGUUGGCUCUCUCCUGGGCCUGAAAAACCAAGUUAUUUUGAGACAAUGAAAUUGAUCUCAGAGAGGCAGCAGUGGCCGGUGGCUUGAAGCGCAAUCUUAGUUCCCUGCCCAGGAAUUGAACCUGGGUAGCCUGGAUGGAAACCAGGAACCCUAGCUGCUAGACCAGCAAGCCAGCAGACAAGCAAAUUUUCCCUGGCUCUUUCCCCCACAGAAAAAGGCAUUUCUCCCAUAAUUCAAAAAGACACAUGCACCCCCAUGUUCAUUGCAGCACUAUUCACUACAGCCAGGACAUGGAAGCAACCUAAGUGUCCAUCGUCAGAUGAAUGGAUAAAGAUAUGGUACAUAUAUACAAUGGAAUAUUACUCAGCCAUUAAAAGGAACUGGGUCAUUUGUAGAGACGUAGAUGGACCUAGAGAGUGUCAUGAAGUAAGUCAGAAAGAGAAAAAUAAAUAUUGUAUAUUAACGCAUAUAUGUGGAAUCUAGAAAAAUGGUAGAGAUGAUCUUAUUCGCAAAGCAGAAGUAGAGACACAGAUGUAGAGAACAAAUGUAUGUAUACCAAGGGGGAAGGAGGGGUGGGAGGAAUUGGGAGAUUGGGAUUGACACAUACAUAUUAUUGAUACUGUGUAUAAAAUAGAUAACUGAGGAGAACAUGCUGUAUAGCACAGGAACUCUACUUAAUGCACUGUGGUGACCUAAAUGGGAAGGAAAUCCAACAAAAGGGGAUAUAUGUAUAUGUAUAGCUGAUUCAUUUUGCUGUACAGUAGAAACUAACACAACAUUGUAAAGCAACUGU